rnacentral:rRNA from 3 species
CUUUCAACAACGGAUCUCUUGGUUCUGGCAUCGAUGAAGAACGCAGCGAAAUGCGAUAAGUAGUGUGAAUUGCAGAAUUCAGUGAAUCAUCGAAUCUUUGAACGCACAUUGCGCCCUUUGGUAUUCCAAAGGGCAUGCCUGUUCGAGCGUCAUUUGUAC